rnacentral:tRNA from 1 species
GAGGGGAUAGCUCAGUGGUACAGCGUAUGCUCAGCAUGCAUGAGGUCCUGGGUUCAACCCCCAGUACCUCUA